rnacentral:rRNA from 1 species
AACGAACGCUAGCGGCAGGCCUAACACAUGCAAGUCGAACGCUCCAGCAAUGGAGAGUGGCAGACGGGUGAGUAACGCGUGGGAACCUUCCCUAUGGUUCGGAAUAGCUCAGGGAAACUUGAGGUAAUACCGGAUAAGCCCUUCGGGGAAAGGAUUUAUCGCCAUUGGAUGGGCCCGCGUAGGAUUAGCUAGUUGGUGAGGUAACGGCUCACCAAGGCGACGAUCCUUAGCUGGUCUGAGAGGAUGAUCAGCCACACUGGGACUGAGACACGGCCCAGACUCCUACGGGAGGCAGCAGUGGGGAAGUAUUGGACAAUGGGCGCAAGCCUGAUCCAGCCAUGCCGCGUGAGUGACGAAGGCCUUAGGGUUGUAAAGCUCUUUUGGNGGGGAAGAUAAUGACGGUACCCGCAGAAUAAGCUCCGCUAACUUCGUGCCAGCAGCCGCCGUAAU